ACGAACGCUGGCGGCGUGCCUAAUACAUGCAAGUCGAGCGAACAGACGAGGAGCUUGCUCCUCUGACGUUAGCGGCGGACGGGUGAGUAACACGUGGAUAACCUACUUAUCAGACUGGGAUAACUUCGGGAAACCGGAGCUAAUACCGGAUAAUAUAUUGAACCGCAUGGUUCAAUAGUGAAAGACGGUUUUGCUGUCACUUAUAGAUGGAUCCGCGCCGCAUUAGCUAGUUGGUAAGGUAACGGCUUACCAAGGCAACGAUGCGUAGCCGACCUGAGAGGGUGAUCGGCCACACUGGAACUGAGACACGGUCCAGACUCCUACGGGAGGCAGCAGUAGGGAAUCUUCCGCAUUGGGCGAAAGCUUGACGGAGCAACGCCGCGUGAGUGAUGAUGGUCUUCGGAUCGUAAAACUCUGUUAUUAGGGAAGAACAAAUGUGUAAGUACCUAUGCACGUCUUGACGGUACCUAAUCAGAAAGCCACGGCUAGCUACGUG
rnacentral:rRNA from 1 species